GACAGAGGGUGCAAACGUUGUUCGGAAUUACUGGGCGUAAAGCGCGUGUAGGCGGCCAUCUAAGUCGGGCGUGAAAUCCCACGGCUCAACCGUGGAAGUGCACUCGAAACUGGAUGGCUAGAGUCCUGGAGAGGAAGGUGGAAUGCUUGGUGUAGAGGUGAAAUUCGUAGAUAUCAAGCGGAACACCGGUGGCGAAGGCGGCCUUCUGGACAGUGACUGACGCUGAGACGCGAAAAGCGUGGGGAGCAAACAGGG
rnacentral:rRNA from 1 species